rnacentral:rRNA from 1 species
UACGAAGGGGGCUAGCGUUGUUCGGAAUUACUGGGCGUAAAGCGCACGUAGGCGGCUUUGUAAGUUAGAGGUGAAAGCCUGGGGCUCAACUCCAGAACUGCCUUUAAGACUGCAUCGCUUGAAUCAUGGAGAGGCGGGUGGAAUUCCGAGUGUAGAGGUGAAAUUCGUAGAUAUUCGGAAGAACACCAGUGGCGAAGGCGGCCCGCUGGACAUGUAUUGACGCUGAGGUGCGAAAGCGUGGGGAGCAAACAGG